rnacentral:tRNA from 1 species
GGCCUUAUAAUGUAAUAGUAACAUCCUUAGUUCUAAAUUAAGAGGUUAUAGGUUUAACCCCUACUAAGGCCC